ACUAAAACUGAAGUAUACUGGCUGGCAGGGGAUAUUUUCUGCUACAAGUGUCUGUUCUGGGGUAUUAGUCAUCAAGCCUUAGAAAGAAUUCUGGAAUGGUUCCAAAAGACAACCAAGAAAUAGUUCUUUUGAAAAAUGAAUUAGUGAGUCGCACAUUAUGUGAAGCAGCAGCACCCACGCUACUCAUCAAGGCCCUGGCCUGAGCCUCGCUGUGGGAUGUGUAACCAACCAUCUUUCUGAACUCCUGCAUAAGUGAAUUUUAAAAAAUACUAUGAUUGGAUUAAUAAGAGUACAAAACAAAAACUGUCCUGCAAUUUGGGGCUUUUUAUCAUUGUGA
rnacentral:lncRNA from 1 species